GACUGGAACUUAAACUUUAAAAGAACAAAAAAAAAAACCCAAACAAACUGAUUUUACUUUUGCUUUAAGAUUCUCAAAACUCCCAGCAUUGAGUGAGAACUCAGCUUUGAGUUCAAUCGUCCGUUUUAACACAUCGUCACAGUGAGUCACAGCUCCCCAUAAAUAAUUAAGAGUUAAUACGAUGCCACUUAAACUUGACACCUUUUGAUGUCAGAGCUCUUCACAGCCUUUGCAGCAGCGUCAGAGAAAGGAGGGGAAAAAGAGGAACGCAAGGCAGAGAGUGCAGCCGCUUUGUGAUCGGCUGAUUCUGCCCCGUGACACAGCAGCCGGGGAGGAGGCGACUCCGGCUCCAUGGCCUCCCUGUUCACCCAACUCGAGGUGUGGACCAUCAUGUUCUCCAUCCUGGUUUUUGCGCUCUUCACACUCGCUGGGAUGAUCAGCGAGGAAUGUCCGCACACUGAAGAAACUACUGAUAGAUCCCAGAGUCAGGAGAUGUCGGUGUGACUCAUCUGCUAAUGCUCAGCUUGUAAGAAAAACUCAGCCUGUUCCUGUCCCAGUGUAACCUGCUUCUUCCAGGAUGAGGCACAAAGGAGUGGCCAAAUUGUUCAACUAAAAAAUGCAAUAAAGAGACACCUGCUGAAACAACGUGGCUCACAACAGCAUCACCUGGCCGCUCGCCCUGCAGGAUGUCCAGAGACAGCACAGGGAGAUUCCUCUGUGAACUUUGAACCUGGAAAACAGACCGUGUGUCUCUCCCAUC